ensembl:lncRNA
GGCGGUUUAGGAAAUGAAAGGUGCAGCAGCAGAGAGGGGGGCGGUUUAGGAAAUGAAAGGUGCAGCAGCAGAGAGGGGGGCGGUUUAGGAAAUGAAAGGUGCAGCGGCAGAGAGGGGGGCGGUUUAGGAAAUGCAAGGUGCAGCGGCAGAGAGGGGGCCGGCCGAGGGACAAACUUUCCCACAGCUCCUUGAAUGAGGUUGAAUCAGACUAACCUGCAGUAAUCGCAGGGUCGUUAUAAAACUUUUAGAUAGGGAGGGGAAUAUUGAAACUAACAAGUAGCCAGUGACCCAUUACAAUGAAAUGAUAAAGCAUAGUCUACAACCAAGGGGAUUUGAGCAAUAAAAGUAGAUUUGUCCAAUCGGGGAGAGAAAAAGCUAGAUUUCCUUGACAACGAACACAGGGUAUGUUUGAAUGUCAGUGAAAUCAAUAUGUUUUUCAGCCUGAUUUCAAGAUGGAUUCAAUUGAUUUCUCUCACCCAUCUUUUAUUUUACAGUUAUUUUACCAGGUAAGUUGACUGGGAACACGUUCUCAUUUACAGCAACGACCUGGG